GAUGAACGCUGGCGGCGUGCCUAAUACAUGCAAGUCGAGCGAACAGAUGAGGAGCUUGCUCCUCUGACGUUAGCGGCGGACGGGUGAGUAACACGUGGAUAACCUACCUAUAAGACUGGGAUAACUUCGGGAAACCGGAGCUAAUACCGGAUAAUAUAUUGAACCGCAUGGUUCAAUAGUGAAAGACGGUUUUGCUGUCACUUAUAGAUGGAUCCGCGCCGCAUUAGCUAGUUGGUAAGGUAACGGCUUACCAAGGCAACGAUGCGUAGCCGACCUGAGAGGGUGAUCGGCCACACUUGAACUGAGACACGGUCCAGACUCCUACGGGAGGCAGCAGUAGGGCAUCUUCCGCAAUGGGCGAAAGCCUGACGGAGCAACGCCGCGUGAGUGAUGAAGGUCUUCGGAUCGUAAAACUCUGUUAUUAGGGAAGAACAAAUGUGUAAGUAACUAUGCACGUCUUGACGGUACCUAAUCAGAAAGCCACGGCUAACUACGUG
rnacentral:rRNA from 1 species